GAUGAACGCUGGCGGCGUGCCUAAUACGUGCAAGUCGAGCGAACGGACGAGAAGCUUGCUUCUCUGAUGUUAGCGGCGGACGGGUGAGUAACACGUGGAUAACCUACCUAUAAGACUGGGAUAACUUCGGGAAACCGGAGCUAAUACCGGAUAAUAUUUUGAACCGCAUGGUUCAAAAGUGAAAGACGGUCUUGCUGUCACUUAUAGAUUGAUCCGCGCUGCAUUAGCUAGUUGGUAAGGUAACGGCUUACCAAGGCAACGAUGCAUAGCCGACCUGAGAGGGUGAUCGGCCACACUGGAACUGAGACACGGUCCAGACUCCUACGGGAGGCAGCAGUAGGGAAUCUUCCGCAAUGGGCGAAAGCCUGACGGAGCAACGCCGCGUGAGUGAUGAAGGUCUUCGGAUCGUAAAACUCUGUUAUUAGGGAAGAACAUAUGUGUAAGUAACUGUGCACAUCUUGACGGUACCUAAUCAGAAAGCCACGGCUAACUACGUG
rnacentral:rRNA from 1 species